GCGCUUGGGGCAAUGACGCAGCUCAUGAGGUUAUACCGAGGCGCGUCAAUUGCUGGUUGAAAACUAUUUCCAAACCCCCUCUGCGGCCCGCAAGGGCCACAGAGAAUUUCUGGAAGGGCUCCCUCUAACCAGGAUUUGAAGAACUGCGGGUACACCUGCCAUGCCGCUACCCCGUUUUCACCGGGCCUUGGAUUACUACGUACUUGCCUGUCAUCUGCAUAUCAAGAAUAUCAUAUUCUCCAGGGAACAUAUUUAUUGAUUUCCUAGGGUAUUCUAUAGAAAUAUAAAAUGUGACUAGACUCUCCAUGCUGGUAGAGGCUGUUAGUAAAUAAUGUAUUGACAUAGUAUGGUGCAGAGUAAUACCUGUUAGUUGGAUCAA